GAUGAACGCUGGCGGCGUGCUUAACACAUGCAAGUCGAACGGGAAAUAUUUCAUUGAGACUUCGGUGGAUUUGAUCUAUUUCUAGUGGCGGACGGGUGAGUAACGCGUGGGUAACCUGCCUUAUACAGGGGGAUAACAGUCAGAAAUGGCUGCCAAUACCGCAUAAGCGCACAGAGCUGCAUGGCUCAGUGUGAAAAACUCCGGUGGUAUAAGAUGGACCCGCGUUGGAUUAGCUAGUUGGUGGGGUAACGGCCCACCAAGGCGACGAUCCAUAGCCGGCCUGAGAGGGUGAACGGCCACAUUGGGACUGAGACACGGCCUAGACUCCUACGGGAGGCAGCAGUGGGGAAUAUUGCACAAUGGGGGAAACCCUGAUGCAGCGACGCCGCGUGAAGGAAGAAGUAUCUCGGUAUGUAAACUUCUAUCAGCAGGGAAGAUAGUGACGGUACCUGACUAAGAAGCCCCGGCUAACUACGUGCCAGCAGCCGCGGUAAUACGUAGGGGGCAAGCGUUAUCCGGAUUUACUGGGUGUAAAGGGAGCGUAGACGGUGUGGCAAGUCUGAUGUGAAAGGCAUGGGCUCAACCUGUGGACUGCAUUGGAAACUGUCAUACUUGAGUGCCGGAGGGGUAAGCGGAAUUCCUAGUGUAGCGGUGAAAUGCGUAGAUAUUAGGAGGAACACCAGCGGCGAAGGCGGCUUACUGGACGGUAACUGACGUUGAGGCUCGAAAGCGUGGGGAGCAAACAAGAUUCGAUACCCUGGUAGUCCACGCCGUAAACGAC
rnacentral:rRNA from 1 species